rnacentral:RNase_P_RNA from 2 species
UCAGUCGGCUGGACGGCCGCUCGGGCCAAGGCCGAAAGGUGGUCCGAGAGGAAAGUCCGGGCUCCAUGGACAUACGGUGCCGGAUAACGUCCGGCGGGUGUUAAGCCUAGGGAAAGUGCCACAGAGAACAGACCGCCGUUUCCUCGCGCGCCGCCGUGGCGAGCAUGGGAGCGGUAAGGGUGAAACGGUGCGGUAAGAGCGCACCGCGCCUGCGGCAACGCAAGCGGCACGGCAAACCCCACCGGGAGCAAGACCGAAUAGGGACGGCGCGAGGCGCGUCCGCGCGAGCGGAAGCGAUCCUCGGGAUCAAUGUCCGGAUCCAGCUGUCCGGGUAGGUUGCUGAAGGCGCCGGGCAACCGACGUCGCAGAGGAAUGGCCGUCACGCGGGGGCGCAUCGCCCUUGCCGACAGAACCCGGCUUACAGGCCGGCUGAUGCU